UACAGAGGGGGCAAGCGUUGUUCGGAAUUACUGGGCGUAAAGGGCGCGUAGGCGGCCUUCUAAGUCGAACGUGAAAUCCCCGGGCUCAACCCGGGAACUGCGUCCGAUACUGGAAGGCUUGAAUCCGGGAGAGGGAUGCGGAAUUCCAGGUGUAGCGGUGAAAUGCGUAGAUAUCUGGAGGAACACCGGUGGCGAAGGCGGCGACCUGGUCCUUGACUGACGCUGAGGCGCGAAAGCGUGGGGAGCAAACAGG
rnacentral:rRNA from 1 species